ACCUUCCCAAAACUUUGUCAAAUGCAAAAAUGGUCUAUAUAUGAAAUGUAGAUUUUCAUGAGUGGAACAAUAUUGAUAUUCAUGACUUUUCCAUUCGAGACCAUCUAGGGUUCCGAAACCGCUGCGUGGCUAUGAGUUCUAUGAAAAUUCAAAAUUCAGUGGUUCAAACUUUUCCAAAUGAAAAGUUGACCAUUAGACAAAAUGUAGAACUUGAUGAGUGUAGCAAACUUUGUAUUCAUGACUUUUCCAUUUGGGACAAUCCAGGGUUCGGUCAAAGGGUGUGUUCAUCAAGAUAUAUAUUUUUAUAUGAUUUUUUAUUUGAUGAAAAUUAUACCCAACUAGC
rnacentral:lncRNA from 1 species